rnacentral:tRNA from 1 species
AAUGAAGUGCCUGACUAAAGGACUAUCGUGAUAGGAUAAUUAAUGUAAUAAAAUACCUUCAUUA